UCCAUGAUGGCCGAGAUAGGCAUCGAGCUUUUAACUCGACCACAGUGACUAAACUUCAGGAU
rnacentral:tRNA from 1 species